rnacentral:rRNA from 1 species
UUCGUAGGUGGCCGACUAAGCCAGACGUGAAAUCCCUCAGCUUAACUGGGGAACUGCGUCUGGGACUGGUCGGCUUGAGGACAGGAGAGGAACGCGGAAUUCCAGGUGUAGCGGUGAAAUGCGUAGAUAUCUGGAGGAACACCGGUGGCGAAGGCGGCGUUCUGGACUGUUUCUGACACUGAAGAACGAAAGCCAGGGGAGCAAACGGGAUUAGAUACCCCGGUAGUCCUGGCCCUAAACGAUGAAUGCUUGGUGUGGCGGGUAUCGAUCCCUGCCGUGCCGUAGUUAACGCGUUAAGCAUUCCGCCUGGGGAGUACGGUCGCAAGGCUGAA